rnacentral:rRNA from 1 species
GAUAUUCCUGUACUGCAGUAUGACAGAACUGUGGGGACACGUAAGGAGAGCGGGAGCCGGGAAUGGAAAGCCCGGUACAAGCGAGGUACCAGUCACAUAGGAAAAUCCGUGUGGCAAUGGGAAGACGUGAUGUGGAGUGAAUUUUAGUAACGAAGCCCGUGAGCCAUGCGUCAAGAAAAGCCGCUGUCGUUCAUAUUGUACCCGUACCGUAAACCGACACAGGUGGAUGAGGAGAGAAUCCUAAGGCCGGCGGAAGAAGUAUUGCCAAGGAACUCGGCAAAAUGGCCCCGUAACUUAGGGAGAAGGGGUGCCUGCGAGAGCAGGCCGCAGAGAAUAGGCUCAAGCAACUGUUUAGCAAAAACACAGGUCUAUGCGAAACCGAAAGGUGAGGUAUAUGGGCUGACGCCUGCCCGGUGCUGGAAGGUUAAGAGGAGAGGUUAGACGUAAGUCGAAGCUUUGAAUUUAAGCCCCAGUAAACGGCGGCCGUAACAAUAACGGUCCUAAGGUAGCGAAAUUCCUUGACGGGUAAGUUCCGACCCGCACGAAAGGCGUAAUGAUUUGAGCGCUGUCUCGGCAAUACAUCCGGUGAAAUUGAAGUGCCAGUGAAGAUGCUGGCUACCCGCGCCAGGACGGAAAGACCCCAUGGAGCUUUACUCCAGUUUGGCACUGGGGUCCGGUGUUGCAUGUACAGGAUAGGUGGGGGGCUGAGAAACGGUAACGUCAGUUGCCGCGGAGCCGCUGUUGGGAUACCACCCUUGUGAUAUUGGGCUUCUAACCAGCCGCCGUAAUCCGGCGGUGGGACAAUGCCAGGCGGGGAGUUUGACUGGGGCGGUCGCCUCCGAAAGGGUAUCGGAGGCGCCCAAAGGUUCCCUCAGAAUGGACGGAAACCAUUCGAAGAGUGCAAAGGCAAAGGGAGCUUGACUGCGACACCGACGGGUGGAGCGGGUACGAAAGUAGGGCUUAGUGAUCCGGUGGUAUUAAGUGGGAAUGCCAUCGCUCAACGGACAAAAGCUACCCUGGGAUAACAGGCUUAUCACUCCCAAGAGUUCACAUCGACGGAGUGGUUUGGCACCUCGAUGUCGGCUCAUCGCAUCCUGGGGCUGUAGUAGGUCCCAAGGGUUGGGCUGUUCGCCCAUUAAAGCGGUACGCGAGCUGGGUUCAGAACGUCGUGAGACAGUUCGGUCCCUAUCCGGCGUGGGCGUAGGAUAUCUGAGAGGAGCUGUCCUUAGUACGAGAGGACCGGGAUGGACGGACCGCUGGUGGACCGGUUGGCUUGCCAAAGCCAUGGCCGGGUAGCCAAGUCCGGAAGGGAUAAACGCUGAAGGCAUCUAAGCGUGAAGCCCCCCUCAAGAUGAGAUAUCCCAUUCUUAUGAAGUAAACCCCCUUGAAGACGACGAGGUAGAUAGGGCAGAGGUGGAAGUGUGGUAACACAUGGAGCUGACUGUUACUAAUCGGGUGAGGGCUUGACC